GAUCCUGACUCAGGAUGAACGCUGGCGGCGUGCCUAACACAUGCAAGUCGAACGGACUUUUCAUGAAGCCUAGCGAUUGAAAAGUUAGUGGCGGAAGGGUGAGUAACGCGUGGGUAACCUGCCUUGUACUGGGGGGACAACAGUUGGAAACGACUGCUAAUACCGCAUAAGCGCACAGCUUCGCAUGAAGCAGUGUGAAAAACUCCGGUGGUACAAGAUGGACCCGCGUCUGAUUAGCUGGUUGG
rnacentral:rRNA from 1 species